rnacentral:rRNA from 1 species
UGGGGAAUAUUGGACAAUGGGCGAAAGCCUGAUCCAGCAAUGCCGCGUGAGUGAUGAAGGCCUUAGGGUUGUAAAGCUCUUUUACCAGGGAUGCAGUACCUGGAGAAUAAGCUCCGGCUAACUCCGUGCCAGCAGCCGCGGUAAUACGGAGGGAGCUAGCGUUGUUCGGAAUUACUGGGCGUAAAGCGCACGUAGGCGGCUUUUUAAGUCAGAGGUGAAAUCCCGGGGCUCAACCCCGGAACUGCCUUUGAAACUGGGAAGCUAGAAUCUUGGAGAGGCGAGUGGAAUUCCGAGUGUAGAGGUGAAAUUCGUAGAUAUUCGGAAGAACACCAGUGGCGAAGGCGACUCGCUGGACAAGUAUUGACGCUGAGGUGCGAAAGCGUGGGGAGCAAACAGGAUUAGAUACCCCAGUAGU